ACGCACGCUGGCGGCGUGCUUAACACCUGCCAGUCGAACGGAAAGGCCCUGCUUUUGUGGGGUGCUCGAGUGGCGAACGGGUGAGUAACACGUGAGUAACCUGCCCUUGACUUUGGGAUAACUUCAGGAAACUGGGGCUAAUACCGGAUAGGAGCUCCUGCUGCAUGGUGGGGGUUGGAAAGUUUCGGCGGUUGGGGAUGGACUCGCGGCUUAUCAGCUUGUUGGUGGGGUAGUGGCUUACCAAGGCUUUGACGGGUAGCCGGCCUGAGAGGGUGACCGGGCACCAGGGGACUGAGAGAGGCCCCAGUCGCGAAGGGGAGGCAAUGGGGGGAAAUUUGACAGAGCGGGGGGACGCGAGUGACGAAAGCCCCGGGGGCGGAAAGCUGGCUUGGGGGUGAAAAACCUCUUUCCAAGGAAAGAGGGGGGGCGUGACGGUAGGGAAUAAAAAAGCCCCGGCUAACUACGUG
rnacentral:rRNA from 1 species